GUGGAAGCCUUUUUUUUUUUCCCCAACAGUAUCUGGAAAAGAGAAAGAGAGAAACUCUCAUGGCUGACUGGUAUGCAGGAUCAGGGAAUCUCUCCACAGUAGUAGGCUGCUGGACGAAUGGCCUUUACCAUGAAUUCUACACAGGAUGCCUUUUAGUUGGAGCAUGUACCCUCUCUUCAGCCUCUUGAUAUUAAUAGUUAAUAUGAUUCAUGAAUUAAAGAGAACAUUUCUUGAAAAUUUUACUUAUUAAUGAAUUCACUUGAUACUUUAAAAUGAUCAAAUAUACUUAUGCUAAUUUAUUCUCCUCUGAGAUGUUAUCCUGUGCUAUAUGAGAUACAGUAGUCUAGACCGUGGCCUCUAGCUUAGGGAUCAGCUUUCUGCCACUUGAUAUGAUUUGUACAAGGUACCCUCACCCACUGCAGAGCACAGGAGACCCUCUUAAUAAUUGCUAAUCGGAUGGCUACCCUAUAGCAUAGGCAGAAAGUUAUAUAUGCAUGUAAAGGUCAGCUGUUGAGAGGUAAAAUGAAAAAAGUUAAUCACCCAUGGGGGUGUUUGUGUGACCACCAACCUCUGACAACAUAUCACCACAUAGGGAAAAGUAAGAGACAAUUAACGUGAAUUCAUUUUCUCCAGCGAAGUUGUUGCUUUCUACACACGAUGGAUCUUAGACUGCCCAAACGUAAAACCAGUUCCCUUUAGUCUGAAUUGCAGAUGGAGGCUAUGGUCACUCUGUCCCUUCGCGUUUUCUCAUUUCAUUUGAGUCUGAUUCUUGUUGGUCUGCAUAGUUGCACAGAGACACCCACUUACGUCUCUGAUAAAUGGAUGGCUUGUCCUCAGGCUGUGGGCCUUGUUCGGUCACUCUAAAACUAAAUGACAUCUAUCAAACAGCAAAACAUAUGCAAAAGGUAGUCCAACAUAGCAUGAAUAAUUUCAAGUGUGAAGUUUGUGAUCCCCGAACAGAACUUUCUCCAGCUCGCUAUUUCUCUUUAGAUGUUCUGGAAGGAAGGCAAUUGUUAGAAUCUUUAGAAUAGUAAUCUUAUCCUUUGAUCAAAACUACUACAGAAAUGCUUUAGCUUGAAAUGUUCAAGUUUUAUUCUUCUCAGGUGGCUUACUUAUUGAACCCAUAUUCUCAGACAUUUAAAACAGUGGGGAUCUAUGCCUCCAUCUCUAUCCUGAUCAGUUGGCUGAAAGAACUGGGUAAGCAGUAGACACUUUCUCAGGUAUUUGGGCUCCAAUCAGAGGCCAUUUGUACUUUCUAUAGGAAAGUCAUAUGUAAGUGAUUUUUUAAAAAAGAUUUAUUUAUUUUUAUUUUAAUUUCUGGACAUGUCUGUGUGUGGGGAGGAUAUACCAUCCAUGUGCCAUGUAGCCGUGGAGGUCAGAAUGUGUUCAAUCCUCUGGAGAUAGUUACAGACAUUUGUGAGCCACCAAUGUGGAUUCUGGGAAUCACACUCAGGUCUUUACUUGCUGAAUCAUCUCAGCCCCUUGUCGGCUUUAUGUCUACAUCUGUAGGUUCACAUCCCGUGUCUACAUCUGUAGGGUCACAUCCCGUGUCUACAUCUGUAGGUUCACAUCACAUGUCUACAUCUGUAGGGUCACAUCCCGUGUCUACAUCUGUAGGGUCACAUCCCAUGUCUACAUCUGUAGGGUCACAUCACAUGUCUACCUCUGUAGGGUCACAUCCCGUGUCUACAUCUGUAGGUUCACAUCCCGUGUCUACAUCUGUAGGGUCACAUCCCGUGUCUACAUCUGUAGGGUCACAUCCCGUGUCUACAUCUGUAGGUUCACAUCCCGUGUCUACAUCUGUAGGUUCACAUCACAUGUCUACAUCUUUAGGUUCUAGGAUCUCAAACUCAUUAAGAAUCCUAGCUUUGACUGCAUUUAACCAUAUAUUAAGAGAGAAUAGGAACCCACAUGGGAAAUGGGAAAUGCCAGAGUUAGAUAUUGCAGAGAGGGGAAAGAUUAGCUUUGAACAUCUGCCUUGGAAUGGCAUUGAUCUUACCCUCAGUUUGUUUUGGCAUAUUUAAGUCCCUAAUUACCCGUGUUUAAUUUUGUUUGCCAUUCUAUUUCAUUUUUGCUGUCAGGAUUGACCUCUAGGCUUUUACUGCUUUAGUAACUCUCACAGUCUUCAUUUUAUCACUUCGACCAAGGCAAAGAAUGCAGUUACUGUUGCCCUACAGUUGUCUUUCUAAUUGCACUUCACACAAAUAAUGCCAUCACAGUUGUCUCUACUAGGCUCAGCAUGCUCUGGGAAGUCCACAACAGAUUAUGAAGCAUAUGAAACAAUGAACCCAUAUCAUUGAUAACCAUACAUUGAGUCACUCUUGUCACUCUGUAUCUGUGGGCACUGUUUUAUUUUAUUUUAUUUCAUUUCAGUUUUAUGAAAGGUAUUUAAAGAACUGGGAACACAAUGUGGGAACCAACUCUGUGUGUGUGGCAAAUCUAGUAAAUUUUUAGUAAGAGACUUUUAGAUUCAGGAAUCCACUCUCAUCUGUAAGUAUAAGAAAAGAAGAAAAUGUCAUAAUUUAAAUGUCAGAGAGAGAGAGACAGAGAGAGACAGACAGAGAGAGAGAGAGAGAGAGAGAGAGAGAGAGAGAGAGAGAGAGAGAGAGAGAUUGCCUAGAGAAAGAGGCUGUCUCCUCUACAGUUGCAAGUGUCUGAAAGUCUCCCACCACUGUGAACAGCCACUGUCUAAGACUCAAUUAGGGACAGAACUACAGAGACUGGGCCAGAGAUGGGAUCGAUAAAGAUGUCUGAUGGGGUAGACUUCUGUUGCUGCCAUGUAAGUUAACUUUUUGUUGGUUCUGGAGAGGAUGAGGACAUGCCAUAUGCUUGUCCUAGAUGCUGAAAGAUGAAGCUGCUUUAGUAAUCAAGGCCGAAGAUGUGAGAGAAAUUUGCAAUUUGGAAUAGGUUUCAUUUAUUUCUUUCUAAAACCUUCCCAACCCUUAUGGUAGGUCCUGAUGAGAAGCCAUCUGGUGAGGGUCUCCUGUCUUCAGGAAAGUAGAGCAAGUUAGAAAGGGUACAGACUGGGAAUGGUUCACAUCUAAGAGGCAAAGUUCACAACACUUCAGAAUACAGUGGUGCUUCACAAGUUCUACUGAUGUUUCAAGGUGUGUAAAACAAAUCAUUACAACCAUACAUCAUUGCUUACCACAGAGCCUGACCUGAGUUUGGUGCUCAGGAUGUGUGUAUUUGAAAUAGAGAACUUUCUCCUGACAGUCAUACCAUGGCUGGUACACACACACACACACACACACACACACACACACACACACACAUUGUUAGCAUUUCCUCAAUGACAGAAGCUCCAACAGUCACCCACCAUCAAUAUUUGAGUGGUACUAAAUUUUCUUCCUAUACAGUCAAGUUCUCAUGAAACAUUCUGAACUCAACUGAAGGCUAAUUUAUUGUGCACACAAACCAAGGAAAAAUGUGUUCUUAUACUGCUCAGUUUUUCUUUGCAUAUCUGGCCAUAAUUCUCUUGGCCACUGUAUUACACCCUUUGCUUUCAGCUCUCAUGGCAAAGGGAGGUGAACUCAGAGUUCUUUCAUUGGUUGGGGGUAAUGAAACUGCCUUGCUCAAGUCCUUCUGAGUCCUUUGCAGCCUUGCCUCCAGGAGGAUGCUCUCAGCCAACUGCACCAACCAUUUCCAUUAUAAUCAUAGUCUUUCUCUUACUUUUGUACUUUUAGGAGAACAUCAUGGUAUCUCCAGGUAAUUGUAUUCUGAGAGAAUGACCCUGUAUUUUCCUGGGGUUAAAACUUUGGCACACAUGAAUUUUUCUAAUGGAUACUUUGUGUUUGCUUCCUGUUUCCUUUGUCCAACCAGCAUUUUUGUAAUGCAGCUGACCACCACGAUGAUCUGUAAGAUGUCAAGAUCAUAUAACUCUGUAUAGUUUACAUAGAUUGUUCUCUGGUUUACACUGGAUAGAUGCGAAAUGCAGCUCUGUGAAGACCAAGUUAUACAAAGAAGAGGUCUUCACUAAAGUAGAACUCAAGAAAAUGGGGUGCCUCAUUCAAGAAUUCCAACUCAUGUACCAGGUAGAUGCCUUUGAGGCAGAGAGAUGCACUGCAUGUUCCUUUUCAGAAUGAAAAGAUUCAAGAGAGAGGAUCGAGCUGACAGGCAUCAGAAGACUGGAUGGACAAGGAGAAAACUUUCGGUUUGGAGAGAUGACUCAGUGCUUAAGAGAACUUACUGUUUUCUAGAGGGUCUUGGAGUUUAGUUCUAAGCAACCACACCAGGAGACUUACACCCACCUGUAACUUCAGCUUUAAGGGAUCUGAUGCUAUCUUUCAAUCUGUGUGGGUACCUCUACACAUAUGACCUGUACACACAAAGACACAUUUAUAAAUAAAAUACAAGUGGUAAUAAAAGAAAUAAAAGUUUCAGUGUAAAAUCAAUGAUGCUAGAAUAUGCCUACCUUCUCUUGUCUUUGUUCAUUGGGGAUGGAAUUGUUGAGAAGUUAGUUGACUUUCAGAGGACGUUUUAUGCCAAAAUUUAAAGAGUGGUUCUGAUCCUCUUUUCUUCCUGAACAUAUUCUUGGGUGUUCUAUUGGAAGGAAAAUGUCAGGGAGUAGGGUAUAGGCAUGCAUCAUGGGACAAAUUACAGAAGCUGUAUGGCUUGCUUAUGUUGGUUGUCACCUAGACUUAGGGAAGGGAGAUUGUUAUAUAGUGAGCCAACCCAUUGGAGUAAAAGUAGAGUAAUCAAAGCCACCCUGAUAGGGGCAGGAGGGCAGGAGGGCAGGAGGUCUACCUCAACAGUUAAAGAUCACUGAGUGCCUUCCAGAGGACAUGGUUCGGUUCCCAGCACCUGUACGCCCUCUUUCAAUUUUUCUGAUUCCAGGAUUCUGAUGCACUUUCCUGGUAUCUGGGCAUUAGGUCUGCAUGAAGAGAACACACACACACACACACACACACACACACACACACACACACACACACACACACACAGACACAGACACACACACACAGCCACGCGCGCGCACACACAUACAGAUUAAAUAUCUAUACAGAUGAUAGGGAUGCAAAAUAAAUAAACUAAAGAAAAAGAUCAUCAACAUAAGAAAAAACUCCCUGAUAAAAUGUCUCUACUUUGGUCACUGUAUUUCUAGGGAGAACUUUGGAGAGAAGGAUGAGAUGGUUAAGAGAAAGUUGCAUUGUUCAUGGCCCUGGACAUGAACCACACAAGUAAUAUCCCUUUGUGGUUCCCAUUACAAUGAGUGUUGCUGGGCAACAGCAGCUGGAUUGAAGUAAGAUGGGCAUGGCCACAUACACUGAUGAUUAUAUUGAUCACAUUUUCUUAAUUACAUUUAUCAAAAGCAGAACCUUUUAUAUAUGUUGAGCAAUUUUGUUCAGGCUUUUGUAAGGAGACAAAUAACUGAGAUCAGACGGCCCAAAUAUCAGAGAAUCUCAGCAGGGUGCCUUUGCCUUAGUUUUCCAGGGAGGAGCUAGCAAGCUGCAGAUAGGGAGAUUCCUAAUUAGAACUGGUGUGAGGCAAGGGGAAGCCUCAAUCAUUCAUCUGAAUAGGAAAUGUUUUUUUUCACCCCUGCAGUUAAUUGGCUUUAGGGGGCAAAUCUGUCUAAACUUAGUGAAAUAGUGAUAAAGAAUGUUUUUAAAAGUAGUUCUCAGUCAUUGGUCCAAGUCUGGGAAACGGGAAUGUUAAUGUUGGGCCUUACCAGCAAAAGGUCAGUUGGAUUCUCUCCCUUCUCUUCUCGUUUAAUUUUCUCUUCUUCCCUCUCCUUUCCUCCCUCCCCCUUCUCCUUCCUCCUCCCAUCCUUUCCCCUUUUCCCCUCCUCCCUUUUCCCCUCCUUCCCAUUCCCCUUUCUCUGUUUUCUCUCCUUUUUACUCCUCUCCUUCUCUCCUCUUGUAUCUUCCUGCC
rnacentral:lncRNA from 1 species